ACUCGAAAAGAAGAAAAAAAACCCAAAACAUAGUUGUUAUCCUCCAUUCAGCCGAAAACAUAUAUAUACAUACAUAUUAAUAAUAAAUAAAGGUAGAUUUGUGGUGGGAUCUCUGAGUACAUCGAAACAAGUCAUAGCUAUAGGUGAUUGAUUUUUUUAGCAGCUACAGAGGUAUUUGGACAUUGACGGAUUAACGAGUUGGAUUACAUAUUUAUCCUACUCGAGGAUAAGCAAGCUUGAGCUAGGAAAAGAUUAGUUCGGUGAGAUGGGUAGAAGUAAUAAAGAAGAUUGGCAUUAGACAUUGAAUGCUUAGACUUCACCUUUUAGCCAUUGUUUGACUACUUUAUUUUUGAUUUAUGAUGCAUGUAAUAAU